rnacentral:rRNA from 1 species
CUUGAGAAUGACGGAAUUUUCGGGGCUUCGGGCUCGACUCUCCCACCCUUUUGUGAACGUACCUCUGUUUGCUUUGGCGGCUCCGGCCGCCAAAGGACCUCCAAACUCCAGUCAGUAAACGCAGACGUCUGAUAAACAAGUUAAUAAACUAAAACUUUCAACAACGGAUCUCUUGGUUCUGGCAUCGAUGAAGAACGCAGCAA